rnacentral:rRNA from 1 species
AUACGUAGGUGACAAGCGUUAUCCGGAUUUACUGGGCGUAAAGGGCGUGUAGGCGGUCUUGCAAGUCAGAAGUGAAAUUCCUGAGCUCAACUCGGGCGCUGCUUCUGAAACUGCAGGACUUGAGUGCUGGAGGGGAUAGCGGAAUUCCUAGUGGAGCGGUAAAAUGCGCAGAUAUUAGGAAGAACACCGGUGGCGAAGGCGGCUAACGGGACAGUAACUGACGCUGAGGAGCGAAAGCGUGGGGAUAGAACAGGAUUAGAUACCCUGGUAUUCCACGCCGUAAACGAUGAUGACUAACCGCCGGGCGGAGUGACGUCCGGCAGCCAAGCGAAAGCGAUAAGUCAUCCACCUGGGGAGUACGGCCGCAAGGCUGAAACUCAAAGGAAUUGACGGGG